CAAACGGCCCUUUUCAGGGCCACAUGAUGUAACGUUACCACGCUG
rfam:Trachymyrmex cornetzi contig30285, whole genome shotgun sequence.